GAAGCCCAUCCGGCCCGGUGUUGGCGCGUCGUCCUCUCUGCUCGCGCCCCUCGCUCGCUAAAUCCCGCCGCCACCCGAGCUCCGCCUCCUCCUCUGCCCCAUCGCCGCCGCACCCCGCCUCCUCCUCUGCCCCAGCGCACCGACGGAGAGGCAGCAGCGGUGAUGACCGCCGCGUCCCUCCAUACCGGGACCCUCCUUCCCGGCGUCCUCCACAAGCUCGGUCCUGGGUUCGAGCUUCACCUCGAACAGAGGAGUGGAAGCAGAUGGGGAGAAGGGGAAAACAGAGAGGAGCCCACCACGAAAACGAGGAGGGGCUCGGGAAGGACGGAGAGGUAGCAGCCGCGACGAAUUCGUCAGCGAUGUGCGACGGCUAGAGGAGGAAGACGAGGUCUGUGUCCACGAUUUGGAUCCCUUCGCGCCGCCGGCCGGCAGGAGCAACGCACUGUCGCCGUACGCCAUGCCGCCUGUGAGAGAAGGGGCUGGUGGAGCUCCACCUAUUAUUCACGUUCCCGCUGACUCGAGCCGGCCUUAUGAGCUUCCGCGCCAGUCUGCUGCUCAGCCUCUUCAUCCUCCGCUGCAUUCAAUGGAGGAGCACAUGUUGAUGAGCCAGGAUCGUUGUGGGGCUCUGCUUUUGCUCGAGAAGAUUGUCGACCUGAAGAUGUACAUUCCUCUUAGUGUUGAAUUUUGUGACAUGUUAGCUGCAGUAGUCUUUUGCUAACAAUGGAAGGAUCUUACUACUUCCAAUGGCAACCAAAUGUGAGACCUGAGUUUCAUGAUACUCACAUAUCAGCUUUGCUAUUUAUCUUAUGGUCAAUUUAUUUUUUCCCUUUCGAAGUGACAAACUGGGUUUUAGUUUUUGCAGCUUACAGAAAUUAUUAAUAGGGGAUGAAUGGUUAAUAAAUGAAAGUUUCAAUAUUUUCUUAAUGGCUCUGUGUCGGCUCUGUACCAUCAUAUCAGCCCGAGCUCCAUCCUACCACCUUCGAGCUCACUAUCGGUUUGCAGUUAAGUGUCUUCUUAUCUCAGCCCAAUUAACAUAAGCUUUUAAACAUUGUUGACCUAGACAGAAGAAGGAAGCGUUACUUUUGGUAGUAGAGCAGCACUCGCGCCGCCUCCGCGUGCCGUGCCGUCGCCGGGAGAAGACGCUUGUGGAGCUCCUCGUUCUGCACGUCUUUGAUGUGCCACUGGAGGCCGGCGGCAUCAGCGCAGCCUGCCGCUCGGGCCAGCACUACGUAACGUGCCACCGUCGAGAGGAGCGUCCGGUAGGGCUCCGCAUGUGCUAGACUUUUGGCCUCCUCUUCCUCUUCAUGGUCACUGGACCACUAGCACAACAGCAUACCCUCCUCCACCUCUUCUUUGAAGGAGACCUACAGAUUUUUGUGUGGAAGAAGCAGAUGCCAGUUCAAGCAAACCUUAUUUGAGUUGAUCUUUUUGCAGCAACUUUGACCCAAAGGAGGCUGAUUCCACUUUAUUGAGGUGAUGUUUUUUGCAGCAACUUUAUUUAUGACAUGAUUGGGACCUCCUUGUUGGUAUUGUGUGGUAGAUUAGGUGUAUCAACUUAAGGAGGAGGUAUUGCAGUAAACCAAGGACAUGAGAUGCUAACCAUCUUCCUGAGAAGAUUUUUUUUUGAUAUUUUAUAACAAUAUUGACCAUUCUACUUUUAUAUUUACUUCUGCCAUUUUUUGCUUCUCUGUGUAUUCCUUUACCAUAUAAUUUUGUAUCAUCAUCCACUUUUCCUAUAUCUAUUGCAUCUAAAAGAUUGUAUGUGAUAUUGCAACUAAUUUGAUAUAUGAUUGUGUUCCAACAUGAUAUUUUCAUCUCUGGAACUGCUAUUGGUUAUCGGACGGAGCUAAGUUGGAAGUACAUUCCCUGCUUGGUAUUGGUUCAUUUAAUUUAUAAGAACAAUUGUAUAUAUAUUUGCUGUAGGCACUUUUUGAUAUCCCAUAGUGCUUACAAAUGUAUAAUUUCUGUACCUACAAUAAUGCAUGCGUUCAUGAAAUGAGCAUAUGUGCGCAAAGUGAUGACCCGUUUCCCAGCAGAAUCUAAUGGACAUCUUCAUAUUGGUCAUGCCAAUAUUUGGAGGGUGCAAAGUUAAUACGGAAAGGAUUAGCCUAUGUGGAUUAUCAGGCAUUUUUCUUUUCUCCUUUGUCAUGUUAUGUACAUCGAGUGCUUGAGAAAUAAAAUUUGCAAAUUCUGGCUCAUAUAUGAUUACCAGACCGGAGAACAACUCAAGGAAUACAGGGAAAAGAAGAAAGAAAGUCCAUGAAGGGUUAGACCCAUUGAAGAGUCGCUGCGACUAUUUGAAGACAUGUGACCCGUAGGUUGAUUGCUGAGGGCGCAGAAAGUCUCUGAAUGAAGAAUUUGAACAUAUCCAAUAUAGUGAUGUCUAAGAAAAAGGUAUGUUAGGAACCAAGAAAUAAAUAUUACCCUGUUAGUAAGCCAGUAGUCUCAUCUCCCUUUUAUACUGUAGGAUGGAAGUUCACAUUAUGUUGGCUAAGUAAUUGUAUCCAUCUUUUUUCUAAUGUAAUUUUAUCCAUAUUUUCUUUCUUACUUUAAAACCUGCUCUUAAUUUUCGUUUACCAAAGAUAUGAUCAGAUGUGUGAGUGUGUAUACAUGGUUGGCUUAAUGUCUAUUAACUGCUAUUUAUGCAUUCUACCUAAGUGAGUACCUGGGUUAUCUAUUUUUAUCGAUCUACCUAUGGAUAUCUUAAGUUUGACUGCAGAGAGUUAAAUAUAUUAGUGUUCCUUUUUACACUACAAUUAUUACUUCACAAUCACCCUCACUAUUUACUCAUGCAAUUACCAGUGCUUAAUUAUUCUUUCCUUAAUCAAUUGUUUACAGCUCACAGUAGUAUAGUGUGAGCUUAUUUGGCUAAUUAGUUGAUCUCUUGAUGCUCCUGAAAUAUAAUAUUCUAUUGUGUUAUUUGUGGUUAAGCUUUUUCUUUUGUUUCAGUUUUUCCUAUUACUGUCCUGCAAUUGUUGUUACUAGAUUUUGCUUCAGAAGUUCAUAUAUCCAGCUAGCUAUAGUGAGUAGGCAAAAGGACAACAAUUGUUGUUAAUUGCAAACCAAAAUUAUCCUUAAUCUGGAUGGUUGAAGAUUUAAUAGACUUCAAACUGAUCCUAUUUUUUGGUGACAUGAAUAGUGAUGGCACUGACGAGACACCGUUCCUCUUGGCUACAGGGGCUGGUGUGACUGGUGUCUCUUCCACCAACGUGCCCUAUCUAAAGCGAUGAACCUGGUCUUAAUGAUAUUUAAGUGUGUAGUUGUCAAUAUGGAGUAUAUAUUUACUGGAUAAAGUUGUAUAAUAUAUGCCCCAUAAUGUUCAUUGGUUUGCAAAGCCAACUUAUAUAGAAGAACUUGUAAAAUUAUAAUGUAGCUUUUUUCACAUCGAGGUAGUUCUUCUGCUAGCAUUCAGAUUUAGUAGUCAAUUCUUUUGGCGACAUUGUAGAAUAUUGUACCUGAAUAGGUUUGCAUAUGUUCCCUGCAUAUACUUUUAGCAUGUUUAUAAUCUAAAAAAGUUCCAUUUUAGUAAGUAGCACCAAAUUUAGAGUCGAGUAGUUCAAUCAGUGCGGCUCAUGGCAGUUUAUGGAGAUCCCUCUUGAAAAAAAAAUCUUUUUUUUAUUUGAUUGACUCUUUUAGGAUUUGCUGUUGUUUACCAGCAGGUUCAACAGUGUGCAAAGGUGCUCCAUUUCAAGAUAUUGGAUCGGAAAUGCUUUAUAUUUCUUCUCUGUUAUGUAAUUUUAGUUGAUGUUUUGGAAAAGUUUCACCUGAUGGGUGCUACGGAAGACCCAUGUUCCAGAUUUAGGAAAUGGCUUUGCAUUGCUACUUCAGAUGGUGGCUUCACCAGGGAAAUCUGGUCGCUUUUGACACAUACUGGUUCAGUGUACAAGCUGCACCUUAUAUAUGUAUAUAUUAUCUUGCUUCUCUUCGUUCAGUCCAAAAGAAUAUUUUUCUUUUGAACUCAUUUUGGAAUGAUGACUAGGCCAGUUGUGUUCUUCACUUACCACCUGACACCACUUGGAAGGUAGAAUAUAUGUUCCUCAAUGAUGAGAUUGAUUGAAUUUCCUAGAUGUUGAAACUUCAAACCUGAAGUCAGGAGUGGUUUCCCUUGGUUCAAACCUUAAUAUUUUGUGUUGUGUUUCAGGCCUAUUUUUUCUACACUCCUUGAAUUUGGAAACUCCCCGUGAAUAUCAGAUGGAGUGGAGAUAUAAAAUGGAUCAAGGUUUUCUUUUUUCCCUUCCGCUGCAAAUGUUCGAGUGGACGUAUAUAGAUGCCAUCGGAAGCAUCUAUAUGGAAAGGUGUCCAAUAAGUUUCGGAAACGCAUUUUCUACUUAUCUUGGUUUUUUUUUGUUUACGAAUACGAAAAUGCCCAUUAUAGAUAUUACAAAGCUUUAGGUGUAUCAUUUGAUAUAUUUUGUCUUUGCCUAUACAGCGGAAAGAAAGCAAUGCGAUAUGUUUUAGAUUUUAAAAAUGGGUAGAAAAGUAUGCAGCAAUAAUAUCAUGAUAUAAUCAGUAUGGCUGCAUGUAUUGCAUUUUAUUUAAUAUUAGGAUCUUUCGAUUUUCA